GCGGCGAGGGCUGGUGGGACCGCGGGGUGUGCCCGCACCCGGGGGCUGCAGGAGCCCCUCCCUCGUUUCACGGAGGCCCGGGCCACGCCCUGUCCAGGCCCCAGCUCUCCCAAGUCAGGGGGCCUUCCUCGAGGGACAGCUCUGGUGUCGGAAAGAAGACACACAGUGACUUGGAGUGACGGCCGCAACCGACGGGCUGCUUCCUCCGUGCCAGACGUGGGCCCGGCCCAGAGUCUUCACGGAGCCCUCUUAGGGCACAUUGUCCCGUUUUCUUGACGCCCGGCAGUGAGGCUGCAGCCGGGCACGGCCCUCGCCUGGUGUCCCGUGCCUGUCGCCGCAGUGGCUGUGCCAGGGGGAAAUACAGGUCUUCUCUCAAAUAAGAACGUUCCGUGUGUCACCCGAGCUUCAGAAACUUACUUGGGUCUAGCCGUUCCGGGACCGUGGUUCCUGCCCUUGGUCAGGUCACAGAGCCCCUUGAGGACUGCGUGCACCUGGAUCGAGCCCCCGAAAACCCACGUAACGUGCACACACGGUUUUUGGGUAGUUUCGAGGCCUGCCCUCCAGGUCCGGAACCAAGGAGCGCCCGAGGGUCAAGCCUGCCAGAAGGGCCGGCAGCUGCCGUUGAUGCUGUUUUCACAAAAUCCAAGCCCAAACGUCAGAGUGAGGAUCGCAGGGAAAAACCCUCAGACUGAAAACCGUCCAGAUGCCGUCAGCACAGAGGAGCAGAACGUUGCGAUGUGUUCACAUAGUGGGAUGUUACGGAGCAGCGGAGACGAACGCUCUUGGCCGCAACCCCGCGUGGACACGAGUCAUGCGAACGUAACGUUGAACAAACAGAAGCAGCCAGACACGCAGUAGCGAUGCCAGACACUUCCGUUUAUUUACGGCAACACGGCUAGCCUGUGGUGUCGUGUUAGAAGUCAGGACGGAGGGCCGCGCCUGGUUGGGGCGCAGGGGAGCUCUUGGGGGGCAGGUGACACCGUGUUUCUCAGUCUGGGUCGUGCCGGCCAGUGGGUCUGUCACUUGGUGAAAAUGGAACUGUGCACAGAGUGGGAGCCCGUUCUCCAUGUGUGUCAUAUUCCAGUGGGAGUUUUCUUAAAAUCACAGCCCACACGUGGGCGUUCUCAGCCACUACAGAUGCGCCACGCGUUACCACGUGACAGCCUCUCCCUUGUUUUUUUUUCUAACGAGGGAGGUUCUGUUGCUGUUCGGCAUUUGAUGUGUGAGGAAGUUGAGACUCAGAGAUGUGGAGCAACUUGCCCCGGGUCACACAGCAUGUGCUGCCAUACUGUGCUGGACUAACUCGUUGAUGGUGGUAGGUGGCCCCAGCCUGGCCAACAGAAGAGGUCUGGGCUCCAGUCGGGCUCCUCCCUCUGUCGUGGAAGAAAAGAAGUCCAGGAUUGCAGCCAACCCAGCUUCUCAGGUGUUGGGAUGUUUUACGGGAGGCAUUCCCAAAUGGAGUGUCCUGGGGAAUCAAUUUGUAAAUGUUGCCUUGGCACGGAAGGCGUCAGGUGGGACAAGACUGACCGGCCACGGUGUCCCUGUCAUGCCUACCCACCUCCCUGAUGGCGACCCAACAUCGUGGGCAGGGCCCCAGCUCCCUGCUCAGAGGGUAAAACACCUUUCCUGACUUGGGGUCUUCAAGGGACUCUGUCCUGCAGCGUCUCUGGUCCUGGGGCAAAGUUAAGGACAGGGUGGCUCCUUAUUUACUUCAGCAGCUGCUGGAUGGCCCGCUGCCUGCCCCGUGAGCCUCCUUUUUUCUUAAAACGUUUUUAUUAAUGUUUGAAACAUAGGGGAAAAUACAAAAAUACUCCCCAUCCAGUGUUUAGCUAGACGCCCAAGAUGAAGGCUCUCGUGUGUGCGUCUUGCACCAACACGCCGAAAGGAUGCAGACAGGUGCCUGGGCUGGAGGAGACCAUCCCAUCACACCAGCUAGAGGAAACCCAGACAGGGAGCUUAAUCUCUGCUUGCAAAGUCAAUGUUUUCCAAAGAACCUCACCGUCACUAAUCUGGAGAGUGAUCGUCCCCGCCAAGGAGGGCGCGGGGGGUGGCGUGAAAGGCCCCCAAACCUCGACCAAGCCCCAGGGGGUAGAGCGAGGGGCGGGGAACUGAAGAGGUGAUAUCGCCAGAUACAGCACGGGAGUGGACUGAACAGAGCAAUGCCCUUAACGGUUUGAUCGUUUAGAUGUUCGGGGUUAUUGCGCUCAAAUGUACAAGCAACUGGAAAGAAUACCUUUGUUGCUGAUGGUUGUUGAAGGGUGAAAGUGAUGACGGGAUAUCCACCCCUCUGAAGGCCCUCCCCUUCCCCCUCUUUAUCUCCGAUUUCUCUGAGGUUAAUCUCAUCCUACUAAAUUAGAAACCAGCCAGUAUGUUCCCAAACUGUGUGGUAAACACAUGCGGGAGUAGCUCAGCCUCGGUGACCUCCAGGUUCCUGCAGUUAGUGACCAUGGAGGUGGCUCCUUUCAUUCUAAGAGUAGAAAUUGGCCAAGUGAGGGUCACCAGGGCACCUGGCUGCAGGGUGGUCCUCUGCCCUUGGCCUUCGAUCUGUCCUGUCUCACCUGGUCUUUUCACAAGCAUGUUCUCUGGCUUCCCUGCAUGUGUCAGUGAGUGAAGGGAGGAGGGAUCCAGCUUACUGCCCGCCCCCGCCCCAACGAAGUGGAAAUGAGCCAAGACUGGGGCGAGAGCCUGGGCUGGGAUUUCACUUCCUUCACGUGGCCACCCUGCGAUGUCUGUUCUCAGCUCCGGAACUGUCCUUGUUGGACACGCUGGGACUCAUUUUCUUGAGGUUUACCCUCUGUGGCUUGAGGGCUGAGUGUUUGCCUCUCUUUACCAACAGACGAAGACCCCGGGAUGUGUUCCAUCCCCACCAGUCUGUCACAUUAGCAGGGCGCAUCCCGGAUCAUCCCUUCCCUGGACAGCGGUAGAAGCCAAAGGGAGUACGAUGUGCCUCCCAGACUCCGUGUUGCUAUCUGGCGCCUGUCCCGGCGGGGCACGCGGAGGGGAGAAGCCGCGAGGAGCUCCAGGGGAAGGCAGCUCACUUUAACCCAAGAACCGCACGCUACACCCGAUGGAACACGCUGUCACGGCCCACUAUGGAUGGGUGUCAGCUCCAGACGUCCCUGUGGAGACUGUCAAAGCUUUGACUACCCCGCUGUCAGCAUCAGCCCACCUACCUUCGGCUUAGCCAGCUUUGCUUAUUCAUAUUCAUGGCCCAGCCGUGUCCACCGCACAGCUGACACCGCCCAGCCUCUGGGCCGCUGCAGCUAGGGGACUGCUGAGACCCGACCACCCGGGAAGGGGGCUGGAACAGACGGUGGUCUGUGAGCUACAUCAGGGCGGUGCUUGCUGGGAUGCGGCUUGCUUCCUUUUUUGGAUCCCGUCCAGGUUUUGGCCUCAGCCAAGUUGGAAAUCAAAAGGAAGCACCCACCUAAGCCAUCCUACUGCUAACAACUCAUUAGAAUAUUCCUCACGCCUUCUUAGUAUUCUGGUCUUUCAGGCUCAAGGAGAAGACAGGGCAGGGGGGUUGGAAGCAGCAGCGGGGAGGGUCCACGGAGAAGCCCCUUCCAGGAUGCCCUGACCCCUUCACCGCCGGCCAAAGCGGAAGCUGAAGCCGCCUUUCUUCCUGCUGUAACCGCUGAGCUCCUCAGCCAGGGUCCCCAACGGGCCGCUAGCCUUGUCGCCAUCCGCCAGGAGGAAGCCGGUCGCCUCGCUGCCGUCAUCCUGCCUCCCAAACCGGACCCUGAAGCCAGCACGCUGCCUGCCGGACGUCUGCAGCUCCUUGGCCGUGACAAGCAGGCCCAGUGGGUGCGGAGCUCUUGGCCGCCGGGGGGAACCCCGUGGGAGGGAGACUCGGUGUCCCCCGGGCAGGUGGGCCCAGCCCAUUUCGCCUCUGACGCCACCCGCGGCGGCCUCUUCUGUGCCCAGCAGAGGAAAGCAGGCGCCCAGCGGCAGGAGGAGCAGGCAGUAAGGGCUUAUCAUCUGGCCCGGAGGAAAGAGAGGAACAAGUUACAGGCUGCACGCGUGGGCCUUGCAUGACAACCUGUCAAGUGCUUCCCAGGGCCCGGGCAGCCAUCAAAGGCUGGGAGAUCAGCUGAGCCCAACUUGCAGGCAGCUUGAGGAAGUGUCACUAUGCUGGGGGAGCAGGCCUUUAUUUUCUUAGCAGGCUCAGGAGCUGAUUGUACCAAUUAGGCUGAGUCUCCUCUCCCGUGGUCCCCUGGAUCUGACGGCCUUGGCAGCUUAGCAUUCGGAUAACCCCCCACUGCUGGGACGGCAUACAGCCGGGCGGAGGCGGGGGGGGUGCCCGUAGCCCCCAAGUGCUGCACAAACUUGGGCUCGGUCUCCUUUUAUUACAAUUUAAAAAAAAAUUUUUUUUUAACGUUUGUUCAUUUUUGAGAGACAGAGUAUGAGCGGGGAAGGGGCAGAGAGAGAAAGGGGGACACAGAAUCUGAAGCAGGCUCCAGGCUCUGAGCUGUCAGCACUUAGCCCGAUGCGGGGCUCGAACUCACAAACUGCGAGAUCAUGACCUGAGCUGAAGUCAGACACUCAACCAACUGAGCCAUCCAGGAGCCCCAAAUAAUCACUGACUCUUGGGCCACAUCAUCUCAGAGCCACAAGGUAGGGAAUGAAUAACAUCGAUCUGUCUUAGUCUUCAACUCGAUACUAAAUGGGCGUAGCUAAGCCGCGUAGCUGGGACACCUAAUGUCUCUUUACCACGGAAACGAAUUGCUCCCUGAAGCUGGAAUGGAUUUGAUGUUCCUGGCCUAACACGCCCACCUGGGGAGAAGCAUGUGGACGUGGCUGUCAGUGAUCCCUACAGAGCACCACCCAUGUGCCAGGCCCUGAGCUAAAACCUGUGAGCCCCGUCCGUGUGACCUCGGCAGACUGUCCUCACAGUAAGCAUGUUUUCAGCCGAGAAGACUGUCAAGAAGGCUGAGAGACUGGACCACAACUAGAAAGUGGAGGCCCUGAGAUUCGUGAUUCUAAUGGCCGGACAGCUUGGCGCACCGGGUGUGUGGGCAGUGCUUUGUGGCCCUGUCCAUCCGGUGCCGCCCUCACGUCCCUCCCGCAGGAGGGUCUCACUCCCUUUGACAGAGGGGGCCGUGCUCAAGCAGGUGACGUGCCCAAGACGUCACGGCUUUAUAAGUGACAGAGCCGGGAUUCAAGCCCAGGUCUAAGUGACUCAGAGCCACUACUCUACCCCAUGGAUGGCAGUCCAUGGGGGGAUUUGAAACAGAAAUAGAGCUUCCCAAAAUGC